AAAAUCCGUCGACUUUAAAAAUCGUGAGGGUUCAAGUCCCUCUAUCCCCC
rnacentral:tRNA from 13 species